CGGGUGAGUAACACGUGGAUAACCUACCUAUAAGACUGGGAUAACUUCGGGAAACCGGAGCUAAUACCGGAUAAUAUUUUGAACCGCAUGGUUCAAAAGUGAAAGACGGUCUUGCUGUCACUUAUAGAUGGAUCCGCGCUGCAUUAGCUAGUUGGUAAGGUAACGGCCUACCAAGGCAACGAUGCAUAGCCGACCUGAGAGGGUGAUCGGCCACACUGGAACUGAGACACGGUCCAG
rnacentral:rRNA from 1 species